AGUGCCACGUGGCGCGGGAGCCUAGCUGAUCGCGUGCAUGACGAGGGCCAGCGUGGCUGGCUGCUUGGCCCGCAGACCUGGGCAGCGGGAAACGCGUACUUGAGAGCGCAUGGCUUCAAGCUUCUCCCUUGCGCUCAUGAUCUUAGGCUGGUCGCUUUUUCUUUUAGGCGGAACACAGUUCACACUGGGCGCCUCCAACUCUCUGGAAUUCUAGGCAACAGAUUAACACUUUGUGAAUCUCGAAGAGCUGCACUCCUGCUAAAUAUUGGAGUUAAUGCUGAUCCUUUGGAAGUCUCUGAAGGUUGCAAGAUUGUGCUGGGAGCCUCUGGCUUCAUUUGCCCUUCUCACACCUUAUUUUAAUACAAGGUAAACCCAUCUGUAGAACUUUAGAAAUAACUGUCGACCUAAAGGAAAAACUGAGGCAAAGUUAAUAUAAGUGGAGAAUUUAUUUGGGCCAAGUUUGAUGAGGGCAACCUGGGAUCAUCAAUUCAAGUUGCCCUUAAUAUGUGAUCCGAUAAGCAGCAGUUUCAACUGAGUUCUUUGUCUUGUGAAGCUCCAGGCUUAAAGGUAUCGAUCCUCCCACCUCUGUCUCCCAAAGCACUGGGAUCACAGGCAUGAGCCAUUACACUUCUUGUAGCAGCUACGAGUGAAUUUUUUUCUUUCUUUAUGGUUUUUUUUUUUUUUUUUUUUUUUUUUUUC
rnacentral:lncRNA from 10 species